GAUGAACGCUAGCGGCAGGCUUAACACAUGCAAGUCGAGGGGUAUUAGGAGCUUGCUCCUAAGAGACCGGCGCACGGGUGCGUAACGCGUAUGCAACCUACCUUGAACAGGGGGAUAGCCCAGAGAAAUCUGGAUUAAUACCCCAUGGUAUAUUAGAAUGGCAUCAUUUUAUUAUUAAAGUCACAACGGUUCAAGAUGGGCAUGCGUCCCAUUAGCUAGAUGGUAAGGUAACGGCUUACCACGGCUACGAUGGGUAGGGGUCCUGAGAGGGAGAUCCCCCACACUGGUACUGGGACACGGACCGGAAUCCUACGGGAGGCAGCAGUGAGGAAUAUUGGUAAAUGGGCGCAAGCCUGAACCAGCCAUGCCGCGUGCAGGAUGAAGCAUCUAUGGUGUGUAAACUGCUUUUAUACGGGAAGAAACCCUGCCACGUGUGGCAGAUUGACGGUACCGUAGGAAUAAGGAUCGGCUAACUCCGUGCCAGCCGCCGCCGUAA
rnacentral:rRNA from 1 species